CCUACGGGGGGCAGCAUUGAGGAAUAUUGGUCAAUGGGCGCGAGCCUGAACCAGCCAAGUAGCGUGAAUGAUGACUGCCCUACGGGUUGUAAACUUCUUUUAUAAAGGAAUAAAGUGAGGCACGUGUGCCUUUUUGUAUGUACUUUAUGAAUAAGGAUCGGCUAACUCCGUGCCAUCAGCCGCGGUAAUACGGAGGAUCCGAGCGUUAUCCGGAUUUAUUGGGUUUAACGGGAGCGUAGAUGGGUUGUUAAGUCAGUUGUGAAAGUUUGCGGCUCAACCGUAAAAUUGCAAUUGAUACUGGCAGUCUUGAGUACAGUUGAGGUAGGCGGAAUUCGUGGUGUAGCGGUGAAAUGCUUAGAUAUCACGAAGAACUCCGAUUGCGAAGGCAGCUUACUAAACUGCCACUGACAUUGAUGCUCGAAAGUGUGGGUAUCAAACAGGAUUAGAUACCCCUGUAGUC
rnacentral:rRNA from 1 species